rnacentral:rRNA from 1 species
UACGGGGGGGGCAAGCGUUGUUCGGAAUUACUGGGCGUAAAGGGCUCGUAGGCGGCCAACUAAGUCAGACGUGAAAUCCCUCGGCUUAACCGGGGAACUGCGUCUGAUACUGGAUGGCUAGAGAUUGGGAGAGGGAUGCGGAAUUCCAGGUGUAGCGGUGAAAUGCGUAGAUAUCUGGAGGAACACCGGUGGCGAAGGCGGCAUCCUGGACCAACACUGACGCUCAUGCACGAAAGCGUGGGGAGCAAACAGG